CCUACGGGAGGCAGCAGUGGGGAAUUUUGCGCAAUGGGCUAACGCCUGACGCAGCAACGCCGCGUGGAGGAUGAAGGUCUUUGGAUUGUAAACUCCUGUCAGCAGGGAAAAAGCGACUCGUGCUCAUACCACGGGGAGUUGAUUGUACCUGCAGAGGAAGCCCCGGCUAACUCUGUGCCAGCAGCCGCGGUAAUACAGAGGGGGCAAGCGUUAUUCGGAAUUAUUGGGCGUAAAGGGCGCGUAGGCGGCUUGGCAAGUGAAAGGUGAAAUCCCUCGGCUUAACCGAGGAACUGCCUUUCAGACUGCUUUGCUUGAGGCCGGGAGAGGCGAGUGGAAUUCCCAGUGUAGCGGUGAAAUGCGUAGAUAUUGGGAGGAACACCAGUGGCGAAGGCGGCUCGCUGGACCGGUUCUGACGCUGAGGCGCGAAAGCGUGGGGAGCA
rnacentral:rRNA from 1 species